rnacentral:tRNA from 1 species
AAUAAUAUAGUUUAAAAAAAAUUUUAAAUUGCAAAUUUAAAGAUAGAUUAUAUUCUUAUUAUUU